GAGCUGGGUUCAGUACGUCGUGAGACAGUACGGUCUCUAUCUGCUGUAUGCGCAGGAAACUUGAGAGGAGUUGUCCAUAGUACGAGAGGGCCUGGAUGAACGAACCUCCUGUAUAUCAGUUGUUUGUAAACAAGCAUAGCUGAUUAGCGGUGUUCGGUAGGGAUAAACGCUGAAAGCAUAUAAGCGUGAAACCCGCCUCAAGAUAAGGUUUCCCUGGUAGAUUAACUACCCAGAAGACCCCCGGAAGACUACCGGGUUGAUAGGCAGAGUGUGUAAGCACAGUAAUGUGUUCAGCUAAUCUGUACUAAUAGGUCGUGAGGCUUGGCCGU
rnacentral:rRNA from 1 species